GAAUUUUAUAUAAAUUUAUUAUUUAAUUUUUAUUUAUUACAAUAAUAUAUUUAUAUUUUAUUGGGAGGAUAAUUAAAUUUAAAUAACUUUAAUAAGUAUAUAGACAUUGAUUUAUGAAUUUAUGUAUGAAUGGCUAAGUUAGUUGCAUGAGAAUUAAUUACCUUAGGGAUAACAGCGUAAUAUUUUUUGAAAGAUCUGAUUGAUAAAAAUGAUUGC
rnacentral:rRNA from 1 species